GCCUUCGUGGUGUAGUGGUCAGCACUCUCGACGCGAAAGGUCCGUGGUUCGAUUCUCGGCAAAGGCA
rnacentral:tRNA from 1 species